rnacentral:rRNA from 1 species
AGAGUUUGAUCAUGGCUCAGGAUGAACGCUAGCGGCAGGCUUAAUACAUGCAAGUCGUGGGGCAGCACAGGUAGCAAUACUGGGUGGCGACCGGCAAACGGGUGCGGAACACGUACGCAACCUUCCUUUAAGCGGGGGAUAGCCCAGGGAAACUUGGAUUAAUACCCCAUAAUAUUAUCUGGUGGCAUCAUUAGAUUAUU